UAGAAAAUCUGAGGCGUCGGGAGUUC
rnacentral:piRNA from 1 species